rnacentral:tRNA from 1 species
ACUAUCUUGGCAGAAUUAGUGCUAUAAAUUUAGAAUUUAUAUAUGUGUACAUAUUACACAGAUAGUA